CCCUAAAGCACCUGCCACCAGUGCUACCUGCAAGGAACUUGAGCAGAUCCACAGUGCUGCACCCUUGCAAUGAUUGUAUUGUCAACCCUACCUUAGGUGAUGGAAGAGACCUCUAAUGAGUGCAAGAAUGGAGACUCAGGGCUCAUUACGUUGCAUCUGUGUGUGGGCUAGGAUGGGUGGGGGCACUGGUUAAAACCUUUGUAGGCUUAAGAGAGGGCUUCCAGCUUGAGCUGCUCCCUGCAAGGCUCCCCACUGACUGCUGAAAAUGAGUUCUGCAGUUGAGGUCUGCCCUUGCUGAGUGGAGACAGUUUGCUGCUUGUUUUUCCAUGGGUUUUGCUCUCAUUUCCUUGAUGUCUGGGCUUAUCUAUUUCUGUGCUGUCCCGCCUCUGGAGUUGCCAGCCCCUGAGUCACUUCCUUUUUUCAGCCCUUUCUUUUCUCUUUACUCCCUCUAGAUGAAGUGUUUUACAAGCUGCACUGUGUGUCUGAGGCAUGACUCAUCUGCACCUGGCUUGUAGCUUAAAGGUACAUGAGAUGCUAACUGCUACAGCCAUGGUCCAGCCAGGUUUGCUGACAAGUUAGUCCAGGUUUUGUUAAAUUCUGAGUGGUUCCAAGACAGAAGCCAGGAUCUAGGACACUACACUAUGCCUGUUAUUUCUAUCUCAGACUCCUCUCCUUAUGGCUGACCCAGUUUUGCUAUGGGCAUGACAAGUUCCCCUUUUAUAGCUGGAUUAAGACCAGGACACCUGUCUGGCAGCACCUGGUGGAAGCAGCUUUCCUCCAACCUGAUCUGCCUCUGGCUGUACUUGCUAUGUAUAGAGAAGGCAAGAGCAGUGGCCAAGCCCAAGUUAGUGACAGCAUGUUCUUCGCUCUCCAUAAGACUCCUCCAAGGAAUUGCAGCCAGAGCUACUACAGUCAUGCUGAGUUGCUCACUCAGGUGUUUUGACUGCUUUUGCUGUACUUAUUAAUGAGAACCAGAAUCGGGGGCAGGCUGAUCCAUGGGGAACUGCACUGGCACACAUUUGGGGUCAGCUCACCUGUUCCUGUGGACUCAGUGCUAGGUCAGGUCUGUUAUUAGUCUGAGACUAUGGCAUCUUCCUCUGGAGCAGGUCAGAAAUGCAGAGCACCACAAAGCCCACCAGCAUAAUUUCAUUGGGCUGUUGAUUUUCUCUAUCCACAUGUUGUAGGUGGUUAAAGGGACUGUGCUGCUUGUCAAGCACGACUCUGGCCUGGGAACUGGGUAAGACCUGUGCUUCAGGGUCUGAAAUGUGAGCUCAUCUCCUAGGGAGGUUUGCCUUUGUAGGCUGAGUACACUUCACCCCUGCCACACUUGCCUCUUCCUCUAGCUCCUUCCAAGGCCAAACAACUCAUGUCCCCCAUCUCCUGGGCACCCAUGACUCUCUUCCAAUAACACAGACACCCUGAUUGCUUGUUUGACAGGAGUGUUAUUUCUCUGUAGGCUGCUGUUAAAUGUUUGUCUAGAGGGGCCAAGGGAGGCUGAGAUCCAGCGGAGAGGCCUUGUAGGGACCAGGUGCAGCUGCAACCAGGAUGUGCUUAGCAGCUUAGGUGGGUGAAGCAGGAGUGUUAGUAGCAAAG